rnacentral:lncRNA from 1 species
UUUUAUAACAAACAACCACGUAACCAAUGAAAUCUAACAUUAAAACAUGUAUAUAUAUAACUACACUCAAAGUAAUAAGUCAAACGUGAAACAAAUCUUCUGGUAUCAAAAUUUUAUAAAAAUUAACAAUAAUACCUAUUGUUGUACCCUCUUUGUAUCUCUGUGAAACAUCCUUGAAAUCAACAAAAUCAAAAACGAAAUGUAGACCUUCCCAUUUACUACACUUUUUCACAAAUGUAUGGUAGUAAAAAUAUAGCUUUUGAUUGUUAGGAACAAUCUUGAAAGAUGCAGUGUUCGCAGCAAGAGAUAACCUUUUUAUAAUAAGGCAUUCAUCGACAUUUAGAUGUGUCUCAAACUUUGAAAACAACUUAUGUAAGCAAGAAGCUUGAAUCUUGGUACCCUGUGAAUAAAUAAAUAAUAACAUGCAAAAGAACUGUUACGAUGACCUUUAUAUCAGAUACAAAUAAUGAAAUCAGAUUUAUGCUACUAUUAAUAUAUAACAAACAUAAUACAAUCGACAAAAAAAAAAUAAAUUAAGAAAUUACCAUUUCAUCCAUUACAAUCAUAUCAAUACGAUAUGUCUCUCUUUCAUUACCUUUUAUCUUCUUUCUCCACAAACUAAUAAUCUUCACUUUGAUAGUGCAGUUUGUACUAAGAGCGUCAAUAUCAUUUAAAAAAGUAAUAUCACAUUGGUCUUCCAUAACUUACCUCUCAAACAGUUACUCAAUCAAAAGAAAAGUUAUUCUUUGAAAUAUAAUAAUGAAUGAAGAACAAAUGAACAUCUAUGUAUAUAAAACUUGCUAAUAUAAUAUUUUCAGUAAGAGUAUAUCAAAUUCAAAUAAAAAAAAAGAUUUUGUAAAAAUUUGAUAAAUAAAGAAACUGUAUAAUACACUAACAUAAUUUACAUAAAUAUAAAUUUAUAAAAAUAGAAAGAUUAUAAUCGUAUCUACAUAUACAUACAAAUAAAGGGUUGACUUUUCAACAUUAAUUACUUAAAAAAUUCGACGUUUACACAUGGAAUACUGAAAUUCACCGUAAAUUUAAAUCUUGAAGGUUAUCUAAAAAACCAGUUAAAAGUUACCCUAAAUCUCUACAUAUAUAUCCAUAUAAAAUAUUUAUACAACAAAUAAUACAGUUUUUAAUGAUUUAUGCAGUUAUUAUAAUAUUAGGCGAGUCUAGUUAAACAAAUAUGUUAUUUGUAAUAUGCUACAUAUGGGAAUUCACACUUACCUGCCUAACCGAAACUUCAUCAACACAAAACUUCAUUUUCAUAGAGAAAAUACCAUAA